rnacentral:rRNA from 1 species
AUUGAACGCUGGCGGCAGGCUUAACACAUGCAAGUCGAACGAGUGGCGGACGGGUGAGUAAUGCUUGGGAAUCUGGCUUAUGGAGGGGGAUAACGACGGGAAACUGUCGCUAAUACCGCGUACCAUAGGAUGAGCCCAAGUGGGAUUAGGUAGUUGGUGGGGUGAUGGCCUACCAAGCCGCCGAUCUCUAGCUGGUCUGAGAGGAUGACCAGCCACACCGGGACUGAGACACGGCCCGGACUCCUACGGGAGGAAGCAGUGGGGAAUUGUGGGAAAUGGGCGCAAGCUGAUCCAGCCAUGCCGCGUGGCUGAAGAAGGCCUUCGGGUUGUAAAGGACUUUUGUCAGGGAGGCGGUACCUGAAGAAUAAGCACCGGCUAACUACGUGCCAGCAGCCGCGGUAAUUC